rnacentral:rRNA from 1 species
UGAAUUGACGGGGAGCACCACAACGGGUGGAGCUUGCGGUUUAAUUGGAUUCAACGCCGGAAAUCUUACCGGGACCGACAGCAAUAUGAAGGCCAGGCUGAAGACUUUGCCGGAUUAGCUGAGAGGUGGUGCAUGGCCGUCGUCAGUUCGUACUGUGAAGCAUCCUGUUAAGUCAGGCAACGAGCGAGACCCACGCCCACAGUUGCCAGCGUACUCUCCGGAGUGACGGGUACACUGUGGGGACCGCCGCUGCUAAAGCGGAGGAAGGAAUGGGCAACGGUAGGUCAGUAUGCCCCGAAUAUCCCGGGCUACACGCGAGCUACAAUGGUUGGUACAAUGGGUAUCUACCCCGAAAGGGGACGGGAAUCUCCUAAAACCAAUCUUAGUUCGGAUUGAGGGCUGCAACUCGCCCUCAUGAAGCUGGAAUCCGUAGUAAUCGCGUUUCAACAGAACGCGGUGAAUACGUCCCUGCUCCUU